GCUAAAAUUGAAUAAGCUAUUGAAAACUGGAAGUUGGUGAAAAUCCAACACGGUCCCGCCACUGUAAAAAGCAGCCGCUUUGAGUCAGGUCUUUUUUCAAUUGCUUUUGAACCGACUGUUUCGAGGCAGAACAGACGGGUG
rnacentral:sRNA from 2 species